CCUGGUUGAUCCUGCCAGUAGUCAUAUGCUUGUCUCAAAGAUUAAGCCAUGCAUGUCUAAGUACAAGCCUCACUAAGGUGAAACCGCGAAUGGCUCAUUAAAUCACACCUAAUGUACUGGACAGUCUCAGUUACUUGGAUAACUGCGGUAAUUCUGGAGCUAAUACAUGCGUACUAGCCGCGACUCACGGAGCGGUGCUUUUAUUAGAUCAAAACCAAACGGCCUCGAGCCGUCCCCCUGGUGAUUCUGAAUAACUUUGGGCUGAUCGCACGGACUCGUUCCGGCGACGUGUCCUUCCAAGGUGUGCCCUAUCAACUGUCGACUGUGGCAUAGACGCCCACAGUGGUUUUGACGGGUAACGGGGAAUUAGGGUUCGAUUCCGGAGAGGGAGCCUGAGAAACGGCUACCACUUCUACGGAAGGCAGCAGGCACGCAAAUUACCCACUGGCCGAAGGCCGAGGUAGUGACGAAAAAUAACGAUACCGGACUCAUCCGAGGCCCGGUAAUCGGAAUGAGUACACUUUAAAUCCUUUAACGAGGAACAAUUGGAGGGCAAGUCUGGUGCCAGCAGCCGCGGUAAUUCCAGCUCCAAUAGCGUAUAUUAAAGUUGUUGCGGUUAAAAAGCUCGUAGUUGGAUCUCGGCGGGCAGGGGGUGGUUCGCUCUUCAGCGCUACUGCCCCGCUUUGCCCGUGUGAUUGGCGGAGGUUUCGGGGUGCUCUUCGUUGAGUGACUCGGAGCGCCGUCAGGUUUACUUUGAAAAAAUUAGAGUGCUCAAAGCAGGCUUUUCACGCUUGAAUAUUCGUGCAUGGAAUAAUGGAAUAGGAACUCGUUUCUAUUUUGUUGGUUUUCGGAAAUCGAGUUAAUGAUUAACAGGGACAAUUGGGGGCAUUAGUAUUCAGACGACAGAGGUGAAAUUCUUGGACCGUCUGAAGACUGACUACUGCGAAAGCAUUUGCCAAGAGUGUUUUCAUUAAUCAAGAACGAAAGUUAGAGGUUCGAAGGCGAUCAGAUACCGCCCUAGUUCUAACCAUAAACGAUGCCAGCUAGCGAUCUGCCGAGUUUUUUUUGUAGGCUCCGCAGGAAGCUUUCGGGAAACCAAAGCUUUUGGGUUCCGGGGGAAGUAUGGUUGCAAAGCUGAAACUUAAAGGAAUUGACGG
rnacentral:rRNA from 1 species